CAGGUAUUUUUGCAGAUGGGUAUGUAGUUUUAACAAGUCUUAUAUUUAGCCUAAGGUCUCAAAAAUAUUUAGGCCUUUCACACACAUUGAAACUAAGGAGAAUUAGUCAUUCAAAUGUGUUUGUAGUAUUUGAACCUUGCUGUGUUUUCCUUAAAUCUCUGUUUCUGGGAUGAAGAUGUUAUGUGACACUCAGCAAGGGAAGAUUUUAUUUUGCUUAUCUUUAGGGUGGUAGGGAAUAUGUUGAAUAUGUAAUGGAAAUGUGUCAUAAAAACAGACCAAGAAACAGACACACCCCCCCCCCCCCAGUUCAUUAUCUUAAAACAUACAAAUUUUCUGAUUUCUUUUGAGGAGGUUGAUUUAUGAUUUUAGAAGAGAAUGCAAAUGCUGUGCGUUUCCCAUGUCUUCAUCAUGUUGUAGUAAGUACUUCUACAAAUGACCUUUACUGCUGAGCCUGAGAGAGCUCGAGGCUUGCCUUGUGCCUGGGAUGUGUUGUGCCACCCUGUUGGCAGAGCUCUGAAAUUAGCCAGGCUUUUCCUGCCUUACCUCCUCUAACACACUUGCUCCAAGUGCAGGGACCUGGAGACUUCUUUCUCUUAGAAAUGCUUUCUAGACUGUAUUGGCAUGGGUAGACUUGCUGCAACCUUGGAGAUGCAAGCCAUAGCAGGCCUGCUUAUUUUUAAAGUAUGGCAGGGUUAUUUUCUUCCUGGAUGCUGCCCAUGUUCUUGUCCGUGUGGCUAGCAUGCUUUCAUAAUGUCUGAGAACGUUAAGGAGGAGAAAUUCUAACAUAACCAUGCCCUGAUAGUACACCUCCUCUUGCUCUUGGCCAUCCUGUCUGCUGUUAGAGCUGUGUGUGCUGGGAGGCAGUGAAGAGUUCUGUUAAUUCCAGAGAAAUUCUGGAUCAGAUAGGUCUCUGUUGGAGGUUUGGGCUGAAUUACUUCUGCAUCCGUCAGCAAGCACAAGACAGGAUGGCAUGCAGAUUGUUUUUGUUUGCGGUGAGGACUGUCUUUGACUCCCUGAAUAAGAAAGCAUCUUUACUCCCUGCCUCUAAUGAGCCGAGAGCUCCUGGUUUCCAGCUCUGCAGUGCAUGUGUGAAAUUGGCCAGCAGGAUCCAAGCUGGGCCUCAAGCUACUGCCUGGAUUCUCUUUCGAGACUCCUCAAGCCUCACCCUCAACAUGUCCAAACAGCAGCAUGCUUAAAGAGGACCUCUAUGAGUGCACUGCAUGAGCCUCUGAGCAUGUGGCAAGUAUGUUAAUUAUUGCGUGCUUGACUUUGGUUCAAGGUGCGUUUCUGUAAGGUCAUGGCUGUGGUUAUCACUGUGGCAUCCAACCAGCACAUCACGUAUCUGAGAUUUCCUUAAGAGCAUUCUUCACCUACAAGCAGGUACAAAAGUCUUUGCUUUCAAGAGGAAGAGACCUCACUUCACUGAGUGCCUAGCUGGAAGUCGAAGGGGUUUUGAUCCCUACAUUGAAAGCAAUUGAAGCAGUCAAGGUUACAGAUGAGUCCAGAAAACUUCACAGUGAUUCUGCUGUUGUAAAUGUUAUAUUGCCUACACUAAAACCCCCAUAGUUGCUCACAUUUACAACUUAAUUACUUGUUAUGUUAAAAAUUAGUUACGUUGCUUGAGAAUAAUGUACUUAAAUUGCAUUACAAGCGUUGUUUUGGCACUGAUUCUGAGGUUUGUUUUUUUUUUUACAUAGCCAAGUAGUUUGCUUGAAUAUAAUCAACUGUUUGCUUGAGCUCAAACUUGAGUUUUGCAGAAUCAAACCCCAUAUUUUUGUUGGAGGCCCCGAAACUGUGACAUUGCUGUAUGUGUUGCAUGACAGCUGUCAUUUUUAUAUUAAUAGUAUAAUCUAUUGAGAACUUUGAUAUAAACACUGUAGUUGACAUGUUUAUGACAAAGAAUUGUAUGUAGCAUUUAGUGCCGGAGGCUUUAGCACUGUGUCUGAGCAGCAGUUCUCUAACGUACCCAUUUAUUUCUCCCACACUCAUGUUUACCUUGUUUUCCCACAUCCUGAAAUGUCAGGAGCUGCACACUUCAGCUCAGGCCACUGUGCCUAACAAGAUGAGAUUCAGCUAAUACAACAAAAAGCAAAUUCCUGGGUUGAAGUGAGGUCUGUGCUGAUGCUACUACUUUUCUUUUGAAUCGGCUGGUUUUAUGACUGAUUUAUCUGAUGGUGUUUCAGAGGAUAUUUCAGCAUGACUUUGAGUAAGGUGUAGCUGGCUGGUGUCUCAGUGUAGACCCUGGAGUAACAGUGUGGCAGAGCUGUGAAGCUGCAGUGUCCCAGUGAAUUGGUGGUGGUUUGGUAGAAUGGCAGGAAGUUGAGAUCUGGGUAGGACACAACAUACUGAUCCUCUUUUGAGUGCUGUUGAGAGUGGCUGCAUAGAAAGAGUGGGGUCAGGAAGAAAAAUGUUGCAUUUGCUGCAGUUGCUACUCGUGUCUGACCUGGAUCUAGGCACAGGCUUGCUCACCAACUCCUCACUUGUCAUGUCCAUUAAACACAGGCAGGUCUGUAGACCAUCUCUCUAGAGCCUCCAGAUCCCAGCAGUGGAAGGCAAGCCAGCCUGAUGGGCAGCAGGAG